UACGUAGGGCGCAAGCGUUGUCCGGAAUUAUUGGGCGUAAAGAGCUCGUAGGCGGCUUGUCGCGUCGGCUGUGAAAACCCGCGGCUCAACUGUGGGCGGGCAGCUGAUACGGGCAGGCUGGAGUUCGGUAGGGGAGACUGGAAUUCCCGGUGUAGCGGUGAAAUGCGCAGAUAUCGGGAGGAACACCGGUGGCGAAGGCGGUUCUCUGGGCCUGUACUGACGCUGAGGAGCGAAAGCGUGGGGAGCGAACAGG
rnacentral:rRNA from 1 species